AUUUUAUGGAGAGUUUGAUCCUGGCUCAGGAUGAACGCUGGCGGCGUGCCUAAUACAUGCAAGUCGAGCGAACGGACGAGAAGCUUGCUUCUCUGAUGUUAGCGGCGGACGGGUGAGUAACACGUGGAUAACCUACCUAUAAGACUGGGAUAACUUCGGGAAACCGGAGCUAAUACCGGAUAAUAUUUUGAACCGCAUGGUUCAAAAGUGAAAGACGGUCUUGCUGUCACUUAUAGAUGGAUCCGCGCUGCAUUAGCUAGUUGGUAAGGUAACGGCUUACCAAGGCAACGAUGCAUAGCCGACCUGAGAGGGUGAUCGGCCACACUGGAACUGAGACACGGUCCAGACUCCUACGGGAGGCAGCAGUAGGGAAUCUUCCGCAAUGGG
rnacentral:rRNA from 1 species